rnacentral:rRNA from 1 species
AUUGAACGCUGGCGGCAGGCCUAACACAUGCAAGUCGAGCGGAUGAAGGGAGCUUGCUCCUGGAUUCAGCGGCGGACGGGUGAGUAAUGCCUAGGAAUCUGCCUGGUAGUGGGGGAUAACGUCCGGAAACGGGCGCUAAUACCGCAUACGUCCUGAGGGAGAAAGUGGGGGAUCUUCGGACCUCACGCUAUCAGAUGAGCCUAGGUCGGAUUAGCUAGGUGGUGGGGUAAAGGCCUACCAAGGCGACGAUCCGUAACUGGUCUGAGAGGAUGAUCAGUCACACUGGAACUGAGACACGGUCCAGACUCCUACGGGAGGCAGCAGUGGGGAAUAUUGGACAAUGGGCGAAAGCCUGAUCCAGCCAUGCCGCGUGUGUGAAGAAGGUCUUCGGAUUGUAAAGAACUUUAAGUUGGGAGGAAGGGCAGUAAGUUAAUACCUUGCUGUUUUGACGGUACCAACAGAAUAAGCACCGGCUAACUUCGUG